ACGCAAAUGUCCACCUCCGCGAGACACAGUAAACACCUACAGUCAGAGAAACAGGAAAAACCCACCUACUCUCGUGUUAAAUCCCAACUUUGCGUUUGUAUGCUACCGGUUUGUAACCUCCAACUUCCUCUUGAGAAAAGAUGUUUCCUCCAUUAAUGAAGGUGUCAGAUCAACAGCAGCAGCAGCAGGGGCAGCAGAAGUGGGAAUAAUGAGGAAUCCUGCAGGAAUCCUUCUCAGUGUGCAUUCCUCAUGACGUAGAGCUGAGCGAGCAGUCAGAAGCAAAAAGCAACAGGCUACUGAGGAGAAAAUGACCUCAUGCACACACACACACACACACACACACACACACACACACACACACACACACACACACACACACACACCUUUUACUAGGGAGAAAAUACAUGACACACUGACAUACACAGGAAUGAUGCAGUAACACACCCACAGCCUCAAUCGUAAACAGCAGAAAUGAGAAUGAAUUUGGAGGAGUUACACACACACACACACACACACACACACACACACACACACACACACACACACACACACAUGUGCAGAUGCAUUUCUGAACAGCUGUAUGUGUGUCUCCAUACACACAGCCACAGUUCACGCUGCAGGACCACUUCAGGUUUCAUCAUCUUCUU